UGCAAGUCGAACGAGAAAAUCCUGGUCCCGCGCAAGCGGGAUCGGGGUGAGUAAAGUGGCGAACGGGUGAGUAACACGUAGCUAACCUGCCCUUGAGCGGGGGAUAACCUGGGGAAACUCGGGCUAAUACCGCAUGACAUUCCGACUUCACAAGGAGAUGGAAUCAAAGGCCCGCAAGGGUCACUCAAGGAGGGGGCUGCGGCCGAUUAGCUAGUUGGCGGGGUAAUGGCCCACCAAGGCGAUGAUCGGUGGCCGGCCUGAGAGGGCGCACGGCCACACUGGCACUGAAACACGGGCCAGACUCCUACGGGAGGCAGCAGUGGGGAAUUUUGCACAAUGCCCGAAAGGGUGAUGCAGCAACGCCGCGUGAGGGAUGAAGGCCUUCGGGUCGUAAACCUCUUUCGAUCGGGAAAAAUGGGCGGGUGAUGAGCCCGUUCUGAUGGUACCGGAAGAAGAAGCCCCGGCUAACUACGUGCCAGCAGCCGCGGUA
rnacentral:rRNA from 1 species